AACCGAAACAAGCCGAGCUUCGGGAGCCAUCUUCAGGCAGAGGAAAAUAUUUGAUGGGAAGCUUUCCAUGUUUGGAAUACAUUCUACCACAAAGAGAGUAAA